AUGUCAUAUACAGCUAUUGUUAUUAAAGAGACGACGUGGACUAUAGUGGUGCAGCUUGUCGAACUCCUCUUUAUUCUUUCAGUGCCACCUGUGGAUGUACAGCGCAUUCUCACCAACAACUCCCGCACUACGGAAGCCUGUUGUGAUGUGCGCCCCGCCCUGAAGGUGCUGGGUCCCUCCAGUGAGGAGCUGCAGCAGGGGAAGGCCACGCUCAUGUGUCUGGCCAACAAGGGCUUCCCCUCAGACUGGAGGCUGUCCUGGAAGAUGGACGGCAGCAGCAGCAGUGACGGGGAGGAGAGCAGGAGCCCUGUGGUGCUGGAGAAUGACGACUUCUACAGCUGGAGCAGCACCCUGACACUCACUGCAGACCAGUGGGGGAAGGUGGGCUCUGUGACCUGUGAGGCCACCCAGGGCUCCCAGGCUCUGGUCUCAGAGACACUGAGGAGAGACCAGUGUUCCCAGUCCUGAGCUGACUGGGACUCUGCUACUGCUCCCAGUCUCUUCUCUCUGUGUCUCUGUUUCACUCAGAGUUCAAAAUUCAUCUUUUCUUGCUUGUGUCAUUG